GGAUCCAGACUUUGAUUCUGGCUCAGGAUGAACGCUAGCGGCAGGCUUAACACAUGCAAGUCGAGGGGCAGCGCGGGGCGGCAACGUCCUGGCGGCGACCGGCGGAAGGGUGCGUAACGCGUGAGCGACAUGCCCGUUGCCCGGGGACAACCGGUGGAAACGCCGACUAAUCCCCGAUGGGACGGAGGCCCUCAUGGGUCUCUGUUGAAAGUUACGGCGGCGACGGAUUGGCUCGCGUCCGAUUAGCUUGUUGGCGGGGUAACGGCCCACCAAGGCUACGAUCGGUAGGGGUUCUGAGAGGAAGGUCCCCCACAAUGGAACUGAGACACGGUCCAUACUCCUACGGGAGGCAGCAGUGAGGAAUAUUGGUCAAUGGGCGGAAGCCUGAACCAGCCAUGCCGCGUGCGGGAAGGAGGCCCUAUGGGCUGUGAACCGCUUUUGCCUGGGGGCAAUAAGGGCGUCGUGCACGUCCGAUGAGAGUACCAGGCGAAUAAGCAUCGGCUAACUCCGUGCCAGCAGCCGCGGUAAUACGGGGGAUGCGAGCGUUAUCCGGAUUCAUUGGGUUUAAAGGGUGCGUAGGCUGUGCGUCAAGUCAGGGGUGAAAUUCCGGGGCUCAACUCCGGGGCUGCCCUUGAUACUGUCGCGCUGGAGUGCGGAUGCCGCCGGAGGAAUGAGUGGUGUAGCGGUGAAAUGCUUAGAUAUCACUCAGAACACCGAUUGCGAAGGCAUCUGGCGAAUCCGUAACUGACGCUGAGGCACGAAAGCGUGGGGAUAGAACAGGAUUAGAUACCCUGGUAUUCCACGCCGUAAACGAUGAUGGCUAACCGCCGGCGACACACUGUCGGUGGCCAAGCGAAAGCGAUAAGCCAUCCACCUGGGGAGUACGUCGGCAACGAUGCAACUCAAAUGAAUUGACGG
rnacentral:rRNA from 1 species